GAUGAAGAACGUAGCGAAAUGCGAUAACUAAUGUGAAUUGCAGAAUUCAGUGAAUCAUCGAGUCUUUGAACGCACAUUGCGCCCCCUGGUAUUCCGGGGGGCAUGCCUGUCCGAGCGUCAUUGCUGCCCUCAAGCACGGCUUGUGUGUUGGGCUCCGUCCCCCCGGGGACGGGUCCGAAAGGCAGCGGCGGCACCGAGUCCGGUCCUCGAGCGUAUGGGGCUUUGUCACCCGCUCUGUAGGCCCGGCCGGCGCCAGCCGACAAACAAUCAUCCUUUUUUCAGGUUGACCUCGGAUCAGGUAGGGAUACCCGCUGAACUUAAGCAUAUCAAUAAGCGGAGGA
rnacentral:misc_RNA from 1 species